GAAUAUUGCACAAUGGGGGAAACCCUGAUGCAGCGACGCCGCGUGCGGGAUGACGGCCUUCGGGUUGUAAACCGCUUUCAGCAGGGACGAAUCCAGACGGUACCUGCAGAAGAAGCGCCGGCUAACUACGUGCCAGCAGCCGCGGUAAUACGUAGGGCGCAAGCGUUGUCCGGAAUUAUUGGGCGUAAAGAGCUCGUAGGCGGUCUGUCGCGUCGGAUGUGAAAGCUCGCAGCUUAACUGCGGGUCUGCAUCCGAUACGGGCAGACUAGAGGCAGGUAGGGGAGAACGGAAUUCCCGGUGUAGCGGUGAAAUGCGCAGAUAUCGGGAGGAACACCGGUGGCGAAGGCGGUUCUCUGGGCCUGUACUGACGCUGAGGAGCGAAAGCGUGGGGAGCGAACAG
rnacentral:rRNA from 1 species